rfam:Camelus ferus unplaced genomic scaffold scaffold2192, whole genome shotgun sequence.
GAGGGUAUAGCUCAGUGGUAGAGUGCAUGCCUAGCAUGCACAAGGUCCUGGGUUCAAUUCCCAGUACCUCCA